UCCUUGUCUAUGCUACAGAAAAAGAGGUACAGCAAUUGCUGUAAGGGGUCAGGGCCACCUUCAAAUCACCAAGCGGACAAAGUAAGAAGGCAGUCUCCAAUGUUGGCAUCCUUCUUGCUAUCCACAGGCCCUGGUCCCCAGUUCCUUGCUCUGUCAGCAUGCCUUGCACAGAACUGAGAACUUUGCUUCAAGCUCUUUCAACUGUGUACUCCUUCAGGUCAGGGUCUCUGCUUUUAUUAUUCUCACUCAGCCCCGUGCAGAGUGAGAGAGCUCAGAACCUGGACCUUUCAUCCUGAGUAGCAGAAAGAAAUCGACCAGGUUGCUUUAGGCUCCAGAAGUGCUACACAAUACUAAAGCUUUGGGGGAGGUUUCUUCCCCAGCCUCCCGGGGGCCCCAUCAGGUGGCUAACCUGCUGUGAACUGCUUUGUGCAGCUUGUUCUUGUACUUGUGAUAUUCCAUGACCCUUCACUGCAUAGGAGCCCAGGGAAUUGGGCCUUUUAGAACAUUCUCCAGUCCCUAAGGAAUUAGACCUCAGAGGUUAACAGCAAUGGGAUUCAGGGUCAUGAAUGCAUAUAGAGACCAAGGUAGGAAGCAAAGUAGGGCAAGUUUGUUCUCUGUUUUAGGGUGCUGUCCUUCUGAACCCCAUACACAGCAUCUUGACAGACCUAGGGGACCUGCUUGCCAGAGGCCUUACCCAGGCUCCUUGCUACCAGUUCUCAUAAGACCCUACUCAGUUUCAGCUCCCCCUGGGCUUCCCCUUUCUCCACUGAAUGCAGUCUGCACCUCCCCUCUGUAUUCCAAGCCCCAAGACAUAAUUUCCUGAUGGGGAGAUGCUUGCUGGAUUAUCUACACCUCCCACCCCCUUGCAUGUGAGUGAAAUGUCAAAAUAAAACUGAAAUGGCUACUGUCAA
rnacentral:lncRNA from 1 species